AUACGUAUGUCGCAAGCGUUAUCCGGAUUUAUUGGGCGUAAAGCGCGUCUAGGCGGCUUAGUAAGUCUGAUGUGAAAAUGCGGGGCUCAACCCCGUAUUGCGUUGGAAACUGCUAAACUAGAGUACUGGAGAGGUAGGCGGAACUACAAGUGUAGAGGUGAAAUUCGUAGAUAUUUGUAGGAAUGCCGAUGGGGAAGCCAGCCUACUGGACAGAUACUGACGCUAAAGCGCGAAAGCGUGGGUAGCAAACAGGAUUAGAUACCCUGGUAGUCCACGCCGUAAACGAUGAUUACUAGGUGUUGGGGGUCGAACCUUAGCGCCCAAGCUAACGCGAUAAGUAAUCCGCCUGGGGAGUACGUACGCAAGUAUGAAACUCAAAGGAAUUGACGGGG
rnacentral:rRNA from 1 species